rnacentral:rRNA from 1 species
UACGGGGGGGCAAGCGUUGUUCGGAAUUACUGGGCGUAAAGGGCUCGUAGGUGGCCAACUAAGUCGGACGUGAAAUCCCUCAGCUUAACUGGGGAACUGCGUCCGAUACUGGAUGGCUUGAGUUUGGGAGAGGGAUGCGGAAUUCCAGGUGUAGCGGUGAAAUGCGUAGAUAUCUGGAGGAACACCGGUGGCGAAGGCGGCAUCCUGGACCAACACUGACACUGAGGAGCGAAAGGCCAGGGGAGCGAAACCGGGGAGUUAGAAAACCCGGGGUA